UUAUGUGAUCGUCUCUCGCAUAUCAAUAAGCGGAGGAAAAGAAACUAACAAGGAUUCCCCUAGUAACGGCGAGUGAAGCGGGAAGAGCUCAAAUUUGAAAUCUUAAAGGGUUUCCCUUUACGAAUUGUAGUUUAAAGAAGUGUUUUCUGUUGAGGUUUUGGUAAAAGUUCUUUGGAAUAGGACAUCAUAGAGGGUGAGAAUCCCGUAUUUGACCUUUACUUUCAACUUUGUGAUACACUUUCAAAGAGUCGGAUUGUUUGGGAAUGCAGUCCAAAAUGGGUGGUAAAUUUCAUCUAAAGCUAAAUAUUGGCGAGAGACCGAUAGCGAACAAGUACCGUGAGGGAAAGAUGAAAAGAACUUUGAAAAGAGAGUUAAACAGUACGUGAAAUUGUCAAAAGGGAAGCGUUUGACACCAGUGUUGUUUUUCUGAAAAUCAAUUAAAGAACUGUUUAUGCUAAGCUGUUUAGACUUUAUCAGCUAUCUGCUUAGUUUUGAGCUUUUCUUUAAUGCACUUUUCAGUUAACAAGUCAACAUCAAUUUCUUUUGCUGUAAAGAAGCUUGAGGAAGGUGGCUUGAGAUUCGUCUUAAGUGUUUAUAGCCUCUUGCCUAUGCAGUCGGAGAGAUUGAGGUCUGCAGCGUAGAUCCUUCGGGGCUAAAUGCAUUUGUGCUAAGUUAUAGCAUUUUAUAGACAACUUGUUGACUAUGAUUUGUCUUGUAGCUUACUCGCUUAUGUUAUUUUACCUACGCUUAGGAUGUUGAGUAGCGACAUACGCAC
rnacentral:rRNA from 1 species